UGCACAUUUUAUAAAAAAUCAGUAGUCUGUU
rnacentral:piRNA from 1 species